rnacentral:tRNA from 1 species
GGAGAGAUGGCCGAGCUGGCUGAAGGCGCCUGACUCGAAAUCAGGUAUGGCGAUGAGCCAUCGGGGGUUCAAAUCCCUCUCUCUCCGCCA